CGCAAUGGCGGCAGCGGCGGCACCUCCUUCCUGCGACGGCCGCUCCCGCGCGCGCGCCCCCUCGCUACUGCGCGUGCGCGGCGCGUGGACCGUUGCAGGGGUAUAACGGCCCCUGGGCGCGCGCCGCGAAGGGACAACCAGCGAGGCAGUGGGAAGAGGUCAGAGCGCGUGCGCACCCGAGGGGCUUACUGCCACAGCCGCUGCCUGAGGUUAGGAACGGCCGCGGACGGUGCAGUGCGCGUGCGCCCCCGAAAAUGCCGCUAUUGCGGCGGCCGCCGUCGCGACUGAGCGCGAGGCGACUUGCAAACGAGCAGAGGGAGCGGGAUGGGCGAGCGCGCGUGCGCGGGGGGCUGCCAGCCGGCGCAGCUGCUGGCGCAGGGCGGAGGGAGUGGUCCGCAGGAGCUGCGCGCGCGUCUCAAGCAGCCGAUCUACUGCCUCGCGCUGGCUCCUGGAGAAAGCCGAAGGAGAGAGCCGCAGCCGCCGGGAUAACGGAGGAGGCCAGAAGGAGCGACGUAACGUGGGGCGGUGGGGCGGGGCUGAGAAGGAGGGAGCGCACCAGAGAGGGAGUUGAUUGGAGGAUAUGAGGAGGCGUGGCCCGCCUCAGCCCAAUCCGAGCCCCGCAAUUCGUCGUCCCGGAAGAAGAGGCGGGGCUGGAGAGCGCGUGCUCUUUCUCCUGGCUGUGAAGAAAAUCUGCAGCCAACGCGCGCGUCCAUGCAACUUGUUUUUGGUUCUGUGAACGACUGAUCCCCAGGAGAGGGAAGACGGCCUGGUCCUGUGUGCAGCCCAAGCCUGUCACUUAGCAUUGUGCAAAUGGCUACAAAUCGAAUGUCAAUUAGGGCGCCUGAAGGGAAAAGAGUAGUGAUGGGAGAGGGCACCGCUGUAACCCUUGACUCCUCUGAACUGAGGAGGUGUUCCUCUGGGACUCCUCCGGAAGUACAGAUCGUGGAAGAUGAGCUUCCCGGGCGCCGAGCCAAUAUUUGUGGAAUGCAUGAAGAAAGGCUGUUUCCUAUUACAUUUGGCAUUUCUGCCAUCAGUCUCUUCAUCUAUAAAAUGGGAUAAUAAUCGUACCUCUCUCGUAGGGCUGCUGUGAAAAUUAAAUAGAUUAUAUUUUGCAAAGCUCUUGAAAUCAUGCAUUGCAUACAUAGUAAGCGCUCUGUAAGCGUUGAUAAAUAAAAUUACAGGGGCUUGUUUAUUCCAUUAAUAAAGAUUUUUAUAUUAAAGGAUGUUUCCAUUGACUUUUUUUU
rnacentral:lncRNA from 10 species